rnacentral:rRNA from 1 species
UACGUAGGCAGCGAGCGUUGUUCGGAGUUACUGGGCGUAAAGGGCGCGUAGGCGGCCUGGUAAGUAGGGGGUGAAAUCCUGCGGCUUAACCGCAGGGCUGCCUUCUAAACUGUCAGGCUUGAGCACGGUAGAGGCAGAUGGAAUUCCCGGUGUAGCGGUGGAAUGCGUAGAGAUCGGGAAGAACAUCAGUGGCGAAGGCGGUCUGCUGGGCCGUUGCUGACGCUGAGGCGCGGACAGCGUGGGGAGCAAACAGG